rnacentral:rRNA from 1 species
UUCUACCUACGGGAGGCAGCAGUGGGGAAUAUUGCGCAAUGGGCGAAAGCCUGACGCAGCGACGCCGCGUGAGGGAUGAAGGUCUUCGGAUCGUAAACCUCUGUCAGCAGGGAAGAACGGUCACUGUGCUAAUCAGCAGUGAAUUGACGGUACCUGAAGAAGAAGCCCCGGCUAACUACGUGCCAGCAGCCGCGGUAAUACGUAGGGGGCAAGCGUUAUCCGGAUUUACUGGGUGUAAAGGGGGCGCAGACGGCGAUGCAAGCCAGGAGUGAAAGCCCGGGGCCCAACCCCGGGACUGCUCUUGG